rnacentral:lncRNA from 1 species
UUGGAUCACAAUUUACAACCUCUAAUAAAAAUUUGUGACUUUAACAAAAUAGAUCACAACAGCAUAUCAAUCAUACAUGACAUGAGGUCACAGUCACAAAGACAUAAAUUUUUAGUCACAUUUAUAAAUUUAGUCGCAAAUCACAAUUUUUUUCAAGUCAUAUAUUAUUUUUCGAUCACAUUUUAUCUAUUUUAUUGGUGACAAUUACCUAAAUAAUUGGUCAAAAAUGCUCUUCAUCCUACCCACGACCAUUGACAUCAUUCAAAUGUCGUUGCAACCUCACGAUCACCAUCACUGUUGCAUCAGCAUCUCACCACCACCUGGGAGAUCUGUAUAUCGUACCAUCACCAUAUGGAUUUGUACAUCCAUAGCACCAUCACCACGCAGAUUCACAACCCAUCAUUACACAAACAACACCAAACUAAUGUUAUGUGGGUAAUAAUUGAGCAAAGAGAAGAAUUAGAUCAACCAAAGAAAGGGAGAAGAAACAACAAUGGGAAAAAGAAAUCAGCAAAACCAGAAAUAAAGGAAGAAGAAGGCAACGGACUUAGCUGAUUUCGAAUUCAAAAUUGGUGUCGUGGUAACUUAUCAAAACGGGGUUAUUUUACUUUAAUUAAUUGUAAUAAGCUAGAAACGUUUUUACAUUUUACCGGCUGAAAACAUGCUUCUUACUGGUAGCAUAUCUAUCUCCAUGUGAGAAGGAGAAAUCAGCUUUUGUAAUAUGAUCAUUUCAAUAAAAUUUGUUGAAAUCAUUCAACAGCUUUUCUCAUCUCCUUCUUCUGAUUUUCUCUUUUACCCUCUCCCAAUUCUAUUUUCAUUUCAAUUUGGUUAUCAUUUCAGUUGAUUAUUGCUGGAACAUUCCGUUGUUGAAGAUACUGUUGCAAUGAUAAUCAAAAUUGAGUUCUAAUCGUGACAAAUUGGUAUCAAAGCGGGUGUACACUACUAGGCAAU